rnacentral:lncRNA from 1 species
AUGAGCAGGAGGCCUGUCCAGGGCAGCAGUGGGAAAAGACACGUGCAGCGAGCCCUGAGCGUGGGGGAAGCAGAUCUGCAGCCUGUUGAAGACACAGGAGCCUCUGGAGCACAGGUGACCCCAGGACCUCUCCACACUGAGGCUGAAGGAGCUCUGGCCAGGCGGGACAGUGCCAGUGCCACAGCCAGGCCGGUGCCCAGCUCUGCCCUGCUCCUGCCUUGGGACACUCGGACGCUCGGACAGGUUGCUAGCCUUCCUGUGAUUGGGUCCUGCGCUGUGGAAAGCUGUGGAUUCAGUGAAGGUGUUUUAGGAAUAUACACUGAGAAGAAGAAGAAGAAGAAGAAGAAGAAGAAGAAGAAGAACAAGAACAAGAACAAGAACAAGAACAAGAACAAGAACAAGAACAAGUAGUAAGCUUUUUGAAAAAUUAACCAGUGCUGCCACCACAGAUUACCAGUACAGUGAUGUUUUAAUGAUACUCCUUUACCAUCCUCCACAAGAUCAGUGUUAAUUAAAAUUAAACAUCACUAAUGUCAAUAGGUUGUAAAAGAGCUUUGUGUUGUUUUCAUUUCAUACACAGAAUUUUCUAAAGCAC